rnacentral:rRNA from 1 species
UACGUAGGGGGCAAGCGUUGUCCGGAAUCAUUGGGCGUAAAGCGCGUGUAGGCGGGUCGGUAAGUCUGCUCUGAAAGUCCAAGGCUCAACCUUGGGAUGCGGGUGGAUACUGCCGACCUCGAGUCCGGAAGAGGCGAGUGGAAUUCCUGGUGUAGCGGUGAAAUGCGCAGAUAUCAGGAGGAACACCAAUGGCGAAGGCAGCUCGCUGGGACGGUACUGACGCUGAGACGCGAAAGCGUGGGGAGCAAACAGG